GACGAACGCUGGCGGCGUGCUUAACACAUGCAAGUCGAACGGAAAGGCCCUGCUUUUGUGGGGUGCUCGAGUGGCGAACGGGUGAGUAACACGUGAGUAACCUGCCCUUGACUUUGGGAUAACUUCAGGAAACUGGGGCUAAUACCGGAUAGGAGCUCCUGCUGCAUGGUGGGGGUUGGAAAGUUUCGGCGGUUGGGGAUGGACUCGCGGCUUAUCAGCUUGUUGGUGGGGUAGUGGCUUACCAAGGCUUUGACGGGUAGCCGGCCUGAGAGGGUGCCCGGAACAAUGGGGAUGGAUAGAGGGCCAGCACUCUUGCGGGGGCGGGAGGGGGGGAAUAUUGAAAAGGGGGCGAGAGCUGAAACAGGCACCGCCGGGUGGGGAGGGAGGGCCUCCGGUUUGAAACCCGGUUCCGCGUGUGAAGAGGGGUGGGGGAGGGAAGGGGGAAAAAAGGCCCCGGCUAAUUAGGUC
rnacentral:rRNA from 1 species